rnacentral:rRNA from 1 species
UGAGGAACAUGACUUUCGGCGGGGGAUAGCCGGCCCAACGGCCGGGUAAUACCGCGUACGACCUUUUGGGGACAUCCCCGAUUGGUGAAAGCAGCAAUGCGCCGAAAGAGUGCCUCGCGGCCUAUCAGCUAGUUGGUGGAGUAAUGGCUCACCAAGGCGACGACGGGUAGCUGGUCUGAGAGGAUGGCCAGCCACAUUGGGACUGAGACACGGCCCAGACUCCUACGGGAGGNAG